UGGAGGGCCGAGGCCACGCUGCGCUCGUUCUCCGCCUCUGGCGGUCGGAAGUGCGGAGAAGGAUCCCUGAGGAGCCUCUCGGAAUGAGCUCCGACAGCCAAGCCUUGGCAGAAGCUGAAUUGGAUCCUACGCAGACUCAGGAGGAGCCCAUCCAGGAAAAUGCCGGUUGCAGCCCAGAGUCGCUGCCAGCCCCGGCUCCCAAGGAAGCCAGUAGCCCCAAGAGCUACUGCCAGGCCUGGCUCCUGGCCCCGCUGGAGGAUGCGAGAUACCUCAUCUGCUGCACCAACUGGUACUAGCAGCUCUUUCUGGGCCCCCUAGGCAGCACAGCUCACCUGACUGCCUCAGAAAGGCACCAGCAUCCAUCUUGAGGCUGAAGAGACGCAUCUCUCCCUAGAUGUGCAGUUGUUAUUAAAACACUGGGGAGUGUAACGAUCUGGCUUUACCUGCCAUAGGCUAUGUUUGCACUAUCUGCUUGUUCAUGGUUAGCUUAAUCAUGAUUUCUCAUAUUAAUUCCCAGCCACAUUCUCACGGUGGAUGGUAUUGGUAUUCAAGCUGUUUUUUUUUUGAGAUGUAAGGGCUGUGAUUGCCCAUGGUUCCUGAAAUCAGGUGGAGAAUCCCUGUUGCUUUAACUCUCUGUUCAACUCUAUGUUAAGUUUGGUGCACUUAAGCAUGGUUAACAACUGAGUAACAGAAAGCCCAACUUCCUGGGUUUACACAUCAUACUAUGUGGACUGUAAACUCUGGCUGGGUUUACACAACACGCUAAAUAAAAAUGUGGUCUUGUAAACAUAGCCAUAGAUAGGCUAAGAAGUGUAAAAAUGUGAUAGAGCAAAUAUAUAAUGCACAUCUGCUCCAACAUUGGAGUGGCAGACCUAUCUGAAGACUUUUUGUCCUGAAAAAGGACUGAUAGAGAAUAAAUGCAAGAGGAUUCUCAUUCUCUUCUGUCCUUUGUGGCAGAAUCUGAAUUCAGUUCUAAAUAUGCUCUCAGCUUUAUCCGGGACACUUUGAAGAAUUUGAGCCUUGCAUAAAAAGACUUUGCUGCAUAUUUAUAACUGAGUGGACAAUGAUGAGAAGAACUUAGAACUUUAUUAUCAUUGUUGUAAAGUUAACUAAUGACUGUCAUAAAAUAUUAAAAAGAUGAUAAACAUAUGCCACCA